rnacentral:rRNA from 1 species
AUCCAUCCGGUAUUCCACGUCUCACAAUUGAAGCCCUUCGUCCCCGACUAUACACCGGUCUUCUCCGAGCUCCCCAAGGUACCGGACCUCACUGCCAGCGAAGCACAACCAGCUGCCAUCCUGGACCGACGCAUGAUGAAGAGGGGCAACGCUCCAGUCGUGCAGCUCCAAAUCCAGUGGGACAACAUGCCUUCCUCUGCAGCCACCUGGGAAGAUUACGACGUACUACGGCAGCGGUUCCCUACCGCCAGCAUAUGGGAGGAAGACACAUCUCAAGGAGGGGACAAUGUCGCGCCUGC